rnacentral:rRNA from 1 species
AACGAACGCUGGCGGCAUGCCUAACACAUGCAAGUCGAACGAGACCUUCGGGUCUAGUGGCGCACGGGUGCGUAACGCGUGGGAACCUGCCCUUAGGUUCGGCAUAACUCCCCGAAAGAGGUGCUAAUACCGGAUAAUGUCUUCGGACCAAAGAUUUAUCGCCUUUGGAUGGGCCCGCGUUGGAUUAGCUAGUUGGUAGGGUAAAAGCCUACCAAGGCGACGAUCCAUAGCUGGUCUGAGAGGAUGAUCAGCCACACUGGGACUGAGACACGGCCCAGACUCCUACGGGAGGCAGCAGUGGGGAAUAUUGGACAAUGGGCGAAAGCCUGAUCCAGCAAUGCCGCGUGAGUGAUGAAGGCCUUAGGGUUGUAAAGCUCUUUUACCCGGGAUGAUAAUGACAGUACCGGGAGAAUAAGCUCCGGCUAACUCCGUG